GGGCACAGAGAGAGAGGGAGAGAGAAAGAGAAGCCUGACACCUCCAGAGCCAGUAAGAGAGAGUGGGUAAAAGAGAAGAGCAGAGAGCUAGGAAGCCAACCUGGAAGAGGAGGCUGCAGUAAAGUAAUCAGGGACAAAGGACAGAGAAUAGAGGAUAGAGGAGCUCUCUAAGGAGACACAAGAAGAUGGCAGGGAGGAGGACAGUUGGACACUCCGAGGCUGCUAGCCCGGGACUGAGGGGAGCCAGGCCUGUGUGCUGAGUGGCAGUGCUGAGUGGGUAGCUUGGAAUGUUGCCUUGAAAGCUGCCUUUGGAAUCCAAGGAGCAGCAAAAUCUCUCUGUCCCUGUCCCUGUCUCUCUCCUUGGGCCUGCCUAUUUGAUCUAAAAGCAGAGGGCUAUACAACACGACCUGAGGCACCGAGAAAAGCCUCUAGGAAGUUCCUGGAAGCUGCUAACAGGCUGUGGUCUGUGGUGGAGACUAGGUUGGAAGCACAGCCAGAGGAGGUGGCAGGACUAAGAACUGGGGCCACACAGUCACUCACAGUCCCUAG